UACACAUAUGACCUACAGUUCUGGGUGUACUCUGAUGCUUUUGCAAAAAUGUUCCUAUAUAAGUGUUUUAUCUUCAGGGAAUUCAUGGAAAAGACUCUGACAAUUGCAGGUUUCUGGUAACUAACUAUACUGCUGAAGUGAAUGAAUAAGCAUUUUCAGAACUCUAAUGGAAAACAGUUGAAUUCAUAAAAGUGCUAACAAAAGAUCAAGAUG